rnacentral:tRNA from 1 species
GCUCCUGUAUUCUAACCGGCAAGGAGGCCAGCUUCUCAAGUUGGUUGUCCGGGUUCAACUCCCGGCAGGAGCA